rnacentral:lncRNA from 1 species
AGAUUAGAUUUUUUUUUAAAUGUUUAUGAAUUUUCAAAAAUUCCACCUGAAAACCGAUCAGACAAUAGUUUAAAGUUGACUCAAUGCAGACAAGAACAUUAACUGAUGCUCAUUGGCUAGCAGAUACAUUUGUCUUUAAAAAUACAACUGACAUAAUGUUUAGGACCGUAAUGGUGCUAUGUGGAUAAAUUUACCGGUUUUCAAGAGCUAAAUUGGCAGCGCGUCAUCCGUACAAUGGCUUCCUUUUCUACGAUUGUAAAAAUGAACAGGCGGAAUGGGGAGAUAAUUUUGACGAAGUAGAAUCAUGACUGCGUGAACUAAAUCUUUGCACUUUCAAAUUGUAAAAAAGGUAAAAAGGAAAAAAAUAUAAAAUAUACGAAAGAAAGAUAAGUAAACUUUUGAAAAAGCAGGGAAUGAAAUUGGAGAAAAGAUUAAAAAAAAAUCCCAACACGAACAACGGUUAUAUUAUUCACUCACUAGAACAGGUUACGUACGGUAAAGUUGGACAUUUGCUUUAGUACACAUACGUCAUCUAAGGUAUAAAAUGUUAUGGACAGCAUUUCAUUUUCGUGUAUUAAAUAUUAAUUAAAAAUACUUGGUAUUUUAAGUAUUUCAAAAUAAUUUACAACUUUAAAGCCAAUGCAUUUCAUGACAAUCAUACUAAAAUAUUCCCACAAGAAAACAAUUCUAAAUAAAACUACAAAAUGUUUAAAACAAACCAUGGCGCCUCUAUUGAUUUUUUUUC